GAACGCUGGCGGCGUGCCUAACACAUGCAAGUCGAGCGGACCAGAAAUGGAGGUAACUUUAUUUCUGGUUAGCGGCGAACGGGUGAGUAACACGUGGGUAACCUGCCCUCAGGAGGAGGAUAACUCGGGGAAACCUGAGCUAAUACUCCAUAAGACCACGAGCUGAAAUGCUUGUGGUAAAAGAAGCAAUUCACCUGAGGAUGGGCCCGCGGCCUAUCAGGUAGUUGGUAGGGUAAUGGCCUACCAAGCCUAUGACGGGUAGCCGAGCUGAGAGGCUGGCCGGCCACACUGGGACUGAGACACGGCCCAGACUCCUACGGGAGGCAGCAGUGGGGAAUAUUGGGCAAUGGGCGAAAGCCUGACCCAGCGACGCCGCGUGGGGGAAGAAGGCCUUCGGGUUGUAAACCCCUUUUGCAGGGGACGACACAGGACGGUACCCUGCGAAUAAGCCACGGCUAACUCUGUGCCAGCAGCCGCGGUAAGACAGAGGUGGCAAGCGUUGCUCGGAUUCACUGGGCUUAAAGGGCGCGUAGGUGGUUUUGUAAGUCUAAGGUGGAAUUCCACAGCUUAACUGUGGGACUGCCUUUGAUACUGCAAGGCUUGAGUCAGGCAGAGGAGGGCGGAAUU
rnacentral:rRNA from 1 species